ANNGAGAAGCGAGAGUGACGGUACCUGCAGAAGAAGCGCCGGCUAACUACGUGCCAGCAGCCGCGGUAAUACGUAGGGCGCAAGCGUUGUCCGGAAUUAUUGGGCGUAAAGAGCUCGUAGGCGGUUUGUCGCGUCUGCUGUGAAAGCCCGGGGCUCAACCCCGGGUCUGCAGUGGGUACGGGCAGACUAGAGUGCAGUAGGGGAGACUGGAAUUCCUGGUGUAGCGGUGAAAUGCGCAGAUAUCAGGAGGAACACCGAUGGCGAAGGCAGGUCUCUGGGCUGUUACUGACGCUGAGGAGCGAAAGCAUGGGGAGCGAACAGGAUUAGAUACCCUGGUAGUCCAUGCCGUAAACGUUGGGCACUAGGUGUGGGGGACAUUCCACGUUUUCCGCGCCGUAGCUAACGCAUUAAGUGCCCCGCCUGGGGAGUACGGCCGCAAGGCUAAAACUCAAAGGAAUUGACGGGGGCCCGCACAAGCGGCGGAGCAUGCGGAUUAAUUCGAUGCAACGCGAAGAACCUUACCAAGGCUUGACAUUCACCGGACCGCCCCAGAGAUGGGGUUUCCCUUCGGGGCUGGUGGACAGGUGGUGCAUGGUUGUCGUCAGCUCGUGUCGUGAGAUGUUGGGUUAAGUCCCGCAACGAGCGCAACCCUCGUUCUAUGUUGCCAGCACGUGAUGGUGGGGACUCAUAGGAGACUGCCGGGGUCAACUCGGAGGAAGGUGGGGAUGACGUCAAAUCAUCAUGCCCCUUAUGUCUUGGGCUUCACGCAUGCUACAAUGGCCGGUACAAAGGGUUGCGAUACUGUGAGGUGGAGCUAAUCCCAAAAAGCCGGUCUCAGUUCGGAUUGAGGUCUGCAACUCGACCUCAUGAAGUCGGAGUCGCUAGUAAUCGCAG
rnacentral:rRNA from 1 species